UACGGAGGGUGCGAACGUUGUCCGGAAUCACUGGGCGUAAAGGGCGCGUAGGCGGCUCAUGAAGGCUGUGGUGAAAGUCCGGGGCUCAACCUCGGAUCGGCCCGUGGCGACUCGUGGGCUGGAGCACUGUAGAGGCGGGUGGAAUUCCCGGGUGUAGCGGUGGAAUGCGUAGAGAUCCGGGAAGAACACCAGUGGCGAAGGCG
rnacentral:rRNA from 1 species